UACGAACGCUGGCGGCGUGCCUAACACAUGCAAGUCUAACGAGAAAGGGGUAGCAAUAUCCUGAGUACAGUGGCGCACGGGUGAGUAACACGUAGGCAAUUUGCCUUCAGGACGGGGACAACCUCGAGAAAUCGGGGCUAAUACCCGAUAAUGCAGCGGCACCGCAUGGUGACAGUUGUUAAAGGCCCGCAAGGGCGCCCGGAGAUGAGCCUGCGUCCCAUUAGGUAGUUGGUGAGGUAACGGCCCACCAAGCCUACGAUGGGUAGCUGGUCUGAGAGGAUGAUCAGCCACACUGGAACUGAGACACGGUCCAGACUCCUACGGGAGCAGCAGUGAGGAAUAUUGCGCAAUGGCCGAAAGGCUGACGCAGCGACGCCGCGUGAAGGAUGAAGUCCGUUAGGAUGUAAAACUUCUUUUGCAGGGGAAGAAUGUGGNGCCUUGGGCGCCAUUGACGGUACCCUGCGAAUAAGGGUCGGCUAACUACGUGCC
rnacentral:rRNA from 1 species